rnacentral:rRNA from 1 species
AUACGGAGGGUGCAAGCGUUGUCCGGAUUUAUUGGGUUUAAAGGGUGUGUAGGCGGUGUAUUAAGUCAGUGGUGAAAGCCUGCGGCUCAACUGUAGAACUGCCAUUGAUACUGACACACUUGAGUAUGGACGAGGUAGGCGGAAUUUAUGGUGUAGCGGUGAAAUGCAUAGAUACCAUAAAGAACACCGAUAGCGAAGGCAGCUUACUAGGCCAUAACUGACGCUGAGGCACGAAAGCGUGGGGAGCGAACAGGAUUAGAAACCCCAGUAGUCC